rnacentral:rRNA from 1 species
GAUGAACGCUGGCGGCGUGCCUAAUACAUGCAAGUCGAGCGAACAGACGAGGAGCUUGCUCCUCUGACGUUAGCGGCGGACGGGUGAGUAACACGUGGAUAACCUACCUAUAAGACUGGGAUAACUUCGGGAAACCGGAGCUAAUACCGGAUAAUAUAUUGAACCGCAUGGUUCAAUAGUGAAAGACGGUUUUGCUGUCACUUAUAGAUGGAUCCGCGCCGCAUUAGCUAGUUGGUAAGGUAACGGCUUACCAAGGCGACGAUGCGUAGCCGACCUGAGAGGGUGAUCGGCCACACUGGAACUGAGACACGGUCCAGACUCCUACGGGAGGCAGCAGUAGGGAAUCUUCCGCAAUGGGCGAAAGCCUGACGGAGCAACGCCGCGUGAGUGAUGAAGGUCUUCGGAUCGUAAAACUCUGUUAUUAGGGAAGAACAAAUGUGUAAGUAACUAUGCACGUCUUGACGGUACCUAAUCAGAAAGCCACGGCUAACUACGAG